GACAUACUUUCUGGCAGAAGUUCUAGUGCAGUCAGAGUUGCACAUAUGUUAUGCUUUUGCCAUAUGUUGCGUAUUCUUGUAGAGGAGCUCUUCUACGGUACCCCAGAAUUAAUUUGGACCGUCCAUUUUUUAGAUCUAAGGGCUCAGAUUUGUUACUACUCCCUAGUACUCCAAUUGUGAAGUGUGGAGUAGUAGGAUGGAGUAAUCAGAAUCAAGGCCAAAGACGUAAUUUCGUCAAAGAAAAAAAAUCCCCAAAACACACCCCGACUGACACCGGAGGCUCCCAUGGCAAGGGAGUGGAGGGCGGAGGCGGCGGCGCAUGCUGGGCGAGGGCUGGUCGAGGACGGUGGCGGCAUCUGUCAGGAGGAGAGGUGGCCGUAGGCUGGGAAGGCGUCGUGCGCGGCGUUGAAGGUGCGGGCUGCAAGGAUGGAAUGGGGAGCCGUGAAGGCGACGGCGGCGGCCGCGCGCAGGGAAGGCGGCAACACGCCGGGCAAGGACGGCGGCGGCCGGCCGUGCGCAGGGAAGGUGGCGGCGCGGCAAGGGCGGCAGCGGCCACGCGCAUCGGGACUACGAGAGUGACGAAGGAAAUAAUUCUAAAUUUAUUUUUAUCCAUGCGAAAAUGUGAAAAGACAAAAAUGCCCAUGUGUAAUACUCCGUUUAAUCCUGCUGGAGUAACAGGUACGAGAGAAUUUGCCUUGUAGAGUGCAUCUUUCUUUGGCAUAUCUAUCCCAAAUAAGUGCCUGAAAGUGCACAUGUUAGUCAAAUAAUCCAUGAGCGGUAGCAAAUAAUAUCAAGGAGACAUUGUAUUCAAGAAAAAAUAACUAAGCUACCUUUACUGGUUUGACCAUUUAUUUGUUGAAGUUUUGAUUUUAUAUUAUCAUAUAUGUUUCUGGGAACUGUAAAUCCAAAGUUAAGUGGUAUCAUAGCAUUUGAGUAUUUCCUGUAUCAUUUCAUGACCUGUAAAUGUAUUGAACACUUCAAAGGUCUCUGAACACCUGAAAGCUCUCUGAAUUUUUUGACAACAGCCACCGAUGGAACAAGGCAAAG
rnacentral:lncRNA from 1 species